AGACACUAGACACAAGAAAAAGAAGAUUUGAAACUUGGUUUGAACUCAUUUUUUGUUUUUAAUUAUGAUGUUCCCUUCAGGAGUCACUGCAACUCGCACGUUCAGUUUUACAUUUUGUUUGAAACAAGCACACGAAAACUCUGGAAACUGACCCUAUGUCAUUACAAUAACUAAUACCUCCUGGUAGGUCUUAGAUUUAAUCCUGGAUUUCUUUAAAUCUUUUUUCUAGUUUAGUGAGUGACACUUCUACAGAUCACAUGCAACUAUGGGGGUUUGACCCAUCUAUUACGUUUUUGGGUUGUAGAAAAGGAAUGGCCGUGUCUUAAUGGGAGCGUAGGUGUGUCUUGUAGUUCCCCUUAAUGCUCGUAUGGCCACCUCAAUGGACAUCAUGAAAAUGGAACGUACCAUUGUCAUAUGUGUAGUAAGUAGGGCUGGGAAUCACUGGGUAUCUCACGAUACGAUGCGAUACACAACUCAUGAUAUCGCGAUAGUGUGAUUAUUGGUAAAAAUCAUGUCUAAUAACUCUCAACAUAUAAAAGACCUUGUCUUUUUCUUUGAUGUUGCAUUGACUUCACAUGGGCCAUUCUUGCCAAAAACCAAAUCAGGUUAGGUUAGAUCAGGGGUGUCAAACUCCAGGCCUCGAGGGCUAAUUCCCUACAUAUUUUCCAACUAACCUGCAACUGAAUCUUCUCAAUGGCAAACAUACUUGAUACAGGUAAUUUGGCAGCAGCUGAAUUAUUACAAAAACCAGUGGGAUGUUAGUCCUUGAGGUUUGGGAUUUGACAUUCGUUCAAAUAAUUGAAGUGGUCACCAAAGAAAAAGGUCAUAUGGUUCAUAGAGGAGGUUGUAUGUACAUACGAUGACCUGCUUUAGGUAAGAGUGUCAAACUUUUUAUGCUUUAAGAGUGUGUCCAUUCAGGAAGAACACCAGUCAUGUCUUGGGUAUGUUAAAUAUUACAUGGUAAAUUUUCCUGGUCAUGAUAAACAACCUCAUCAAUGUUUCUGUGUGGAUCUGGUCUGUUUAGCAAACGAUGUAGAUGUGAAAUGUUCCUUCAGACGACUGUUGUUUCAUAAAUAGGGGCUAUAGUGGUUAUUUCUUCACUCUGACGUCAUUUUCCAGCUUUUUCUUCCAUUAAAAUAAACUGUAACCACUUUAAAACAAUGGAGACGACUGAUAACCGAGUAGCACAGUGAUUGACCUAAGAGGUCUGUGUUAAGGUGAAAAGUAGGAAGAGGACCUGUUCAGACUAUGACAGCUCACAGCAUCUUUUAUUUUUGUUCUUUUGCACAUUUUUUGCUGUGCGAGUCAAUAUUUUGUUCUGCUCUCCUGGAAACCGCUGAAGGACGCUCUCGGAGCGGCAAAAAAUAACAAAAGAUUUCAACUCUGAGGUGUUGUGUUGGAGGUUGCCGUGGCAACAGCGGGGGAAAACUUUUGCCCUGGCAACUGUUGCAGAUCCGCAGGAGGGCGGCGUGACGGGCUCUGUCACGUCCCGCUGACGCCGAGGCGAGACCAGGAGGCGGGCACCUCCUCAUCAUCCCUGCAGGUGUGUGCCUCUGCAGCCAGACACUCGCUGCAAACUAAAGAUUUGCAUCAUGGGAAACGUGUUCCCCACUGAGAUAAUGGUCCCAACAGAGACAGCGUGAGGAACAACAUGCAGGCAAGUCCAGGCGCAGGAGGCAGCAGGAUACUGAGGCGUUCUCAGGUCGGCAGAGAUGUGUCAUCCCUCCUGUGUGGCCUGAAUCUGGACAUAACCCCCCCGGACAUGUUCAGGUCACCUCCUGACCUCCACAAACAGCAGCUCCUGUGUGGCUGAACCCAAUGUGCCGUCAUCCUUCUGUAUUUUCUUAACAGACGGAGCUCCGACUCGGCAUGUUUUUGAGGCGUUACAGGAUGGGGGGGGCAGGAAGGACACGAGACUGUGAGCAAACAGACGAGCGCUUCAGACCGACGCUUCACCUCCAACACACACACUCUGGAUGAGUCCUGCAUUCCUGCAAAGAUGCCUGAGGCUGUCAGUGUGCACACAGCAACACACCCAGACUCGCACAACCUGCCUUUAGUUUGCUCUGUGGCUCCAGUGUCAGCGGCCCACCUUCCCCGUGACGGCCGACCAGACUUUCAGGGUGUUGUCAUCAGAGCCGCUCACAAUCAGGUCGCCGCUGAACUGGAGACACGUGAUCACGUGGUCGUCGUGGCCUUUCAGCACCUGCAGCGAGACGGAGGAAUUCCUGACACUUAGAGACUGUUUGCACUCCUCUCAAUGAAGCUUUAGUCACAUACACCCCUAGGGGGGGUUGACCUGUACAGAUUAUCCCCCCAUAAGGCCAGUUGUGACUACAGCUUCAGAUCUGAGGUGGUUCCUUUACCAUGGGGUCCCCCGUACCCCCCUUCCUCCAGUUGGUUUCUAUCCGAUGUUGUCGGAUGUAGGCGGAUUUCCACGGACUGACCGCCGGGCUUGGUCGCACACUCUCCCUGCGACGAUACGACGCAAACUCUGAGAUACCUGGGGAGAGAAGGAAAGUCUGCUCCUCCUUUAAUCUGACUUUCUGGAGAUUGGAUGACCUUUCGAAGACUCCAGUGGGGAAGAACCCAACUCUUCAGAGCUGUAAUAGCUGCACUUGUUAGGCAAUCAUCAGUGUUGUAUAACUUUUAAUGAGCGCUCAGGCAGAAAAGACGUUGAGAAAUCAGGCUGCUGACAAAAAUCCUCUACAAGUAUAGAACAGAAGCAUGUAUGACAGAGCUUUGAUUUUAUUAUUUUAAAGCUAACUGUACCACAGCUAAUGACAAAAUUAAUAAUAUAUCCAAAUAUCAUUUUGUAUUUCUAUAUCUCUGUAUCAGUUACUAUCUCAGCCAAGACUUUCUUUAGCUUUGAAUAAUUUUACUAUAAAAUUAAAGAUAAAAAAUGUAUUAAUUACAAAACAUUUAACUAACAAUAAGUUGCUUUGUUGUUGAUUAUUAUCAUAUCUGAACCAAAUAAAAUGUGCUUACCGUCAACUGCUAAAUUAACUAAAAUAUAUUUAUUUUGGAACAAUUUGCAGCUAUGAGGCUAAGCUAAUUUAACUGCAAGAUUAGCUGCAAACUAGCGCUAAAAAAACAAAAACCAGGAACUAAAGUGAUACACCAUCGCCAAGCUGAAUGCCAUUGGCCAGUCAAAAAUGUCACCAAGUGCGUGGGUGUGGCUUGAGCCCCACGGAAGGACAGUAAGCUAACCACAGCUAAUGUGUU